CCUACGGGUGGCAGCAGUGAGGAAUAUUGGUCAAUGGACGAGAGUCUGAACCAGCCAAGUAGCGUGAAGGAUGACUGCCCUAUGGGUUGUAAAAUUCGUUUAUAUGGGAAUAAAAUGUUCCACGUGUGGGAUUUUGUAUGUACCAUAUGAAUAAGGAGCGGAUAACUCCGUGCCAGCAGCCGCGGUAAUACGGAGGAUCCGAGCGUUAUCCGGCUUUAUUGGGUUUAAAGGGAUCGUAGUUGGAUUGUUAAGUCAGUUGUGAAAGUUUGCGUCUCAACCGUACAAUUGCAGUUGAAACUGGCAGUCUUUAGUACAGUACAGGUGGGCGUACUUCGUUUUGUAGCGGUGAAAUGCUUAGCUCUCAC
rnacentral:rRNA from 1 species